AUGCUCGUGCAGAGAGGAUUGAUGGAUCAAACACGAGACAUGUGUUGCAUUUUUUGUUUCAACUGUGAUGAAACCUGUCAGCGUGUUUUCUUCAAUUGUGAAUUUGCUAGCAAGGUAUGGUUGCUCGAGUUUUAUACUAGUACAUAUGGGAAAAAACAACUGUUAAGCUCCAUAACAGUGCUAAGUUGCAGCAAAAAGUAA